UCCACCUCGGAGUCGGGGACAGCGCCUUCCUCCGCCGCCCCUUCGGCGGGAUUCAUGGCUGGGGUAGAGGCGGCGGCGAGCCCGGCGGCUGGUAAUAUCCACAUGGAGUUUUCAGGAGAACUGGAGGGGAGGAACAACAGACGGGAUCCAAAUGAACUGUGAUAAACAGGCUCCCUCCUGCCACUCAGGCUAAAGCCACAUAAAGAAGUAUUGCCAACUUCCGCUGGAAGUUAUUUAGGAUUCACCUCUGGAGCAACCUCACUGCAGUCUACAUAGAGCACAGUUCCUGUCACCUGAAACGAAGGCACCAGCCUCCCAUAAACUUGAAGGAAGAUUGCAAGAAUGAUAAUAUUCUGAUAUAAAAGCUUUCAAAUUUUCCUACUGUAAUAAUUACAAAAAUGUACAAUUUCUGUAGUUGUUCUGCUCUAAUUACUGAAUGAUCCCUUUUUCGGGGUAGUACAUUAUUACUAUUUACAGCAGUCUUUUGCCAGAUAUCUAGUUUAUAUCUACAUCAAUAAAUUUGUAUCUAUUGUGUUACAUACUGACAGCACAUAAUUCAGAAGGUAUGUACUGUUCUUGACUCUAUACUCUUCAUCCUUUAAGGUGUUUUGCAUUUGAAGGUUUUUGACUAAAGCAUCCAAACAAUUUACAAAGGCGAUACGCAGUCCAUGGGAACUAUUUGUAGCAUACUUAUUUGUUGGUUUCGGACUAAUAUUAUGUAUCAUUUCAGGGUAAAUGGAUAGGAACCAGGCCUUACCAUGACCCUGCCUUCCCUUGUAAAUCUUUUACGUUUCAGAGCUCAGAUGACCUCCUGGAGUUAUUGUUUUUAGGCUGUCUGCCUAAAAUCAUUCCACUUGAAUCAUGAUUUUAAACAGGGGAUUUGGGGGAUACACAAACAUUGGGAAUAUAUAUUUUAACAUAAAACAGGCCCUAACUUAAAUAUACAAUUCUAGAAGCUGACAGCCCAGUUGGACAUUCGACUCAUAUUGUGCUGCUGUCCCCUCAGACAGUCACACACAGGUUCACAUCUUUGCUGAGAAAUACACUUGCAGGCUGUUCUCGCUUUUUUCCCAACUGCCUUGAUCCCAGUGGAGCCUUUGUGUCCCAGACACAGAGCUCCCCGAACCAGGAGCCACUCUAUUUGUAUAAAUGUGUUUGCAAGUUCCCUGAAAAACUGCAUGCAGUGCCCCUUUUGCCCCACUACAUUUACACACCCCAUGUUACCUUUAGGCAUUCUGCAGCGUAGACUAUGUAUAACCAGUACCUUGCCUAUCUCCAGAGUCACAACAAUGUUUCGAGGUGACCACCCUGAAGGGUUCAAACACUCUUCUUUGCUGAUCUCUAGCAUGAUUGCGAACAGCUAUUUUCUGGAGCCCUAGUGACCUGUCCAAGCUCCCAGCCUCACCCUUCCUUGGGCAAUGCACAGCUGAUAGGAUCAGGGUGUUUGUGAUUCACACAGGGAUGCAGGGAAAGAAAAGCCUUGCUCCUGCCAGUAGACUACAGCCCGUAUCACAGAGGUGCUUCUAGAAUCAGGUCCAGUGGUUCCUCUCCUUAACACUGGCCAAGCUCCAUGGAGAAAACCUCAGCCUCUGGUAAUGAUGGAAAAUGGGGAAGAGCUUGGAAAUGGGGAGAGAGGACCGGUGGAUGGGCAGGCAGGUGGGGAGGGAGAUAACUAGAGUAAGGAUGAGCAUGGAGCAGGAACAUCUUAAUAUGCAGAGGACAGUGGCGGAGAGGGUGGUGUUAAGGUGGGAAAAUUAUGAAAAGGUGAGAUACCUGUGUGGACAUUGGUCAUGGAAUGGGAGGAAAUUAUCAGAUACAGGACAGUUUUGUGGUGAACUGUAUGUUUAAGAGUUCAGGGAGGUAUUUUAGGACGAAGACUUGCAAAGGGUUGGGAAGUGAAAUAAGAAUAGGGGGUGGAAUUGUAGAGGAAAAGGAGCUAAUUGACUUGAGAACAGCAAGGCGGGAAUUACUGGACUUCUACUGAGGAAUUUCCACUAAGCAGAGCAAAGAAUACAGGUAGUAAUGUCAUAUGGGGUGGUAAUUUUUCAAGUGUAGAAACAUAGAUGUUCAAGGCCUGGAGGAGCUCAAGCUUUUGGGAUGUCAUCUUUUGUCAUUUUUCAGUGUAGCUUACAAAUCUUUAAGAAGUUAAUACAGCUUUCUUGGCAUGAUUUCUUGAUCCACGAGUUUCAUUAGCAUUCUGCACAGUAGGAAUUCAACUCCAGAAGUGUUUUUUCUUUUACUGUUUUUGAGCUAACACUUUCCAAGACCUAUUUUGCCUGCUAGUAAUCACCUGGGAGAUUGUUAUAACCAUUUCUUUUCCAUUCGUUUCACUUUUAAUCACAUUGAACAGCAAAAGUAGAUGAAUAAAUUUCAAGACUGUAAA